UACAGAGGGGGCAAGCGUUGUUCGGAAUUACUGGGCGUAAAGGGCGCGUAGGCGGCCCGCUAAGUCGAACGUGAAAUCCCCGAGCUCAACUCGGGAACUGCGUCCGAUACUGGUGGGCUUGAAUCCGGGAGAGGGAUGCGGAAUUCCAGGUGUAGCGGUGAAAUGCGUAGAUAUUAGGAAGAACACCGGUGGCGAAGGCGGCCCACUGGAUCGGUACUGACGCUGAGGUGCGAAAGCGUGGGGAGCAAACAGG
rnacentral:rRNA from 1 species